rnacentral:rRNA from 1 species
GACAGAGGGUGCAAACGUUGUUCGGAAUUACUGGGCGUAAAGCGCGUGUAGGCUGCUCCGAUAGUCGGAUGUGAAAGCCCGAGGCUCAACCUCGGAACUGCCUUCGAUACUGCGGGUCUCGAGUCCGGGAGAGGUGAGUGGAAUUCCUAGUGUAGAGGUGAAAUUCGUAGAUAUUAGGAAGAACACCAGUGGCGAAGGCGGCUCACUGGCCCGGUACUGACGCUGAGGCGCGAAAGCGUGGGGAGCAAACAGG